UUCCCAUCCAACUUUAAGAUCACAUUUACACCUGAACCGUUAGUUUCCUUGUCACCACCUUUAUUAUCCUGCAUGGCGCCUACGUGGAUAUUAUUUCUCACAAAUUAAAUCUUGUCAAAUUAAAACCCGUCCCAUCUAGCAAAAUCGACCCAACUUGCAUAUUCCUUACCCAACACUUGUAACUGUCUUCUCCAUCACCGGCUCUGGUGCCGCCUCUGUAACCAGCACUGCCUCUGUCAUCUUCUUUACUCCAACAACACUAAACCCUAAAUAAAGAAGAGAUUUCAAUUCAAUCUGUUGCCGCUAUCUGAAAAGUAAAUUGCAUUCCGUUUCUCCUCUUGACUUGGAGUUUGACUGGAUGAGCUCCCACCCAAUCCAUAUUAUUUCCCCCUCUAAUGCCACAGACCCCUAAUCCGUUGGGUAUUCAUUUGAAUUUUAUUUUAAACUCUUUCUUGCAUUUAUAUCUCAUAAUGUUAUUUUUAUGUGCUUAAAUGUGCAUAUGAGGAGGCAUUCCAACUAAAUUCAUGUAUUUUAGCUGAAUAUUUGAUUGGGAUUUCUGGAUAAUUGAUGAAGGAGUCGGUUAAAUUAGUUAUGACAGUUGUAUACCAACUGUAUACAGUUGGUUAGAGUUAGUUAGGAUAUUAAGUUAAAUCGUGUAGAUGGAUCAGCAGAUUGAGAGCUAGUUAUUAGAUUAGUUCACAAUGUAUAAAUAGGAGUGAAGUCAUUGAAAAUGUACAAUUUUUUGCAUUUCCUUUCAUUGAAUAAACUCAGUUCUUCCUUACUCUCUUUCUCCUUCCAUUUCCUUUCAUGUUUGCUUCCCCCAUUGUUGAGAUUCUUUAACAUGAUAUCAGAGCUUUAGAUUAACUCAUUUUAGCUUAACAAUGAAUUAAUUCUCUAUAAAUUGAGUUGAAGUUUGAUUCCUUCGUUUGUUUUUAAUUAAAAAAAGACCGAUUGACGUAAAGUCUAGGUCUUGAAGAUUCUUAUUGUUCUAUACUUAAGUCAGUACAAAUUUAUUGUUAAUUGUUGUUUUCUGGGAAAAACAAUGACGAAUACUGAAGAAACAGAGGGAAAUCGAUCCAAUGUUGCUGCAACUUCAAGUAAUGGUCAAGAGUACGAUCAUGUUCAUCAUAAUCAUCCAUUGUAUAUUCAUCUUUCAGAGACACAAGGUUUUUUUCUUAUUUCUAUUCAGUUGCAAGGUUCUGAGAAUUAUUCAAUUUGGAGUAAAUCUAUGCGCAUUAUUUUGCUUGGAAAGAAUAAGCUAGAUUUUGUGAUAGGUACUUGUAAAAAGGAAUCAUAUGAUCCCAGUUUACAUGAACUUUGGGAUAGAUGCAAUGCAAUAGUUUUGGCAUGGAUCAUGAACACUCUUUCUAAGAGUUUAACCAGCAGUGUUAUACAUGCAUCGAGUGCUUAUGAAAUCUAGGAGGAUUUGAGAGAAAGGUUUGAUAAGGUCAAUGCAUCUAGGUCUUUCUAUUUGUAUAAGGAAAUUGCUAGAUUAACUCAAUGAGUAUCUUCUGUGACAGUUUACUUUGCUAGACUGAAAGAACUCUGGGAUGAGUAUGAAGCCUUAGCACCAUAUCCUAACUGUGCAUGUCCUGAAUCUAAAGAGUAUGCUGACCAUUUUAGGAAGCAAAAGAUAUGGCAAUUUAUAAUGGGACUCAAUGAAUCAUAUGAACACACUAAGAACCAAGUGUUGAUGAUCAGUCCCUUGCCUAGUAUUAAUCAAGCUUAUGCCAUUACACUAAAUGUAGAAAGCUAAAGGUUGAACACUCCAGGAUCCUUUACUAAUGCUGAGCUUUCAGAAUCCACAGCCUUAAUGAGUAACAGAGUGAAUAAUAGUGGAUAUAAUCAUGACUACAACAGUGGAACUCAACAUAAUGGCUAUAAUAAUCAACACAGAGGUGGCUAUAAUGGUCGGACUGGCAAUAGCAAUGAUGGUCAGACUAGUGGUUGUGGUGGUCAAACUAGUGGUUAUGGUGGUGGUCAGACUAGUGGUUAUGGUGGUCAAUCUAGUAGAAAUGGUCCUAUGGAAAGUCUGGUGGUUUCAGACCUAGAAACAACUUUGACAAGAGUGCACUAUAAUGUGACUUCUGUCAUUUCAAAGGUUAUACAAGGGACAAUUGUUACAAACUACAUGGCUAUACAUCUGAUCUCAAGUAUGAGAAGAAAGGACACUUAGCUCACUCAGUCAGUUAUGCUAACAAUUUGCAUCUCAAGUAACUCCAGCAGUAGUUGGCCCUUCAACAUCCACAUCUGGAAAUCGCUUUGCCAAUACUCCACAAGCUCUUAUUUUCAUUCAGGAGCAGUAUAACCAGAUAGUGCAAAUACUGAACAAAGGAAAACAAUCAAAAAGUGUAGCUAAUGCAACAACAAUGAGUACAUCAGGAACUCACAAAUGGGAAGGUGAUGGGGAUUGGUAAGGAAGAUCAAGGCCUCUAUAUUUUGCAGACUGGAAGAUCUGAUCAAGAUAUUGUAAAUACAAAUAAACAUGCUAUGUCAUUAGUGGAUGUGUUUCCUAGUAGUUUGAAUGCUAAUAACAAGUAUUGUUCCCCUACUAGCACUAUUGUGAGUUGCUCAUCUGUAAAUAAUUCUGAUAAGACUACCUUGGGAGAUGAUAUCAUGCUCUUUUGAAAGUACUCAGAAGAAUAAGCGAUUUGAAAUGUAUGCAACUAAAUGAACAUGACUGUUCAGUCUGUCCUAUUGCUAAACAAUCAAGGAUGCCCUUUACUCAAAGAACUUUUGUUUCUCUUCCUUCUUUUGA